AAGGGCGCGCAGUGCCAAAUUUUUUGGCUAAAUUAGGUCUCCUUCCCCCGUGCCUCAAUCCUUCGCCGCCGCCAGAAAAAAUCCCCCCUCUCUCUCCCCAAUCUUCCUCUCCCACAUCGCCAUGGCCCGCCGCGCGCCACCACCCGGCCGUGCCCCUACCGGCCCUGCUCCGCCGCGCCCCUACCAUCCCUUAUCCGUCGCAUUGCCUCUUCCUCCCCCUUCUCUACCACCACAUCGGUGGCCCAAUCGGACCAUCUGGCGGUGGGCACGAUGUCCUCACGCGGAUCUGACUGCCGCCACCAUCGUCGCCUCCACCUCAAGCUGCUCCUCGAUGCGGUUGUCCCCGACGAGCACCACCCCCACCCGACUGUCCCCGACGAGCUACUCCCCAACGGCCACAUCCUCUCCUGCACUACGAGCACUACGGCGAGGAGGACGACAUCCACUUACCCGCUAGAUCAAGAUUGCGUCCACCACCUCGACUUCACCCCAAAGGUUCUCUCCCUGCCUCUUGCUCUCUGGUUUAGGUAGUUGUAUAUGCUCUGAUCUUUUCGGUGUUCAGAUCUCGCAAGUGAUGCUCAUCUCUGUGAUUUGCUUGUUAAGAAAUUAUACUACUUCUUUCGGCAAGCUUGCCGUUGUUGCAGAAUAUCAGUUUGCCCUUUGCAAGGUCCGCUCCUGCAGGUCUACUAGGUAAAUCUUUUUAGUAGUACAAGUCUUUCGAUUUAGUUUUUUCAGCUUGAACAUGAUGUCCAGAACCAGAACUUAAAAGUAGAACUUUUACAUACAAGAUCUAGUAGGUAAAUCUUUUAAGUCCAAGUUCAGAUUUAAAGACAGAUAUAUGGUAGCUAUGAUGCAGGUUGGCCAUGCUAGUACUCUCCUGCACUAGCAUUUUGUUAACUUAAAACAUAUUUCCUGACUGAAUGUUUUUCUGAUUUAAAGGUACCAAGGAAUGUUUAAAUACUACAUUGGUGUUUUCUAGCUUGGAGAAGCAACAUCAACUUGGGAUGCAGAUUCACCAGUAUAUGUGCAUGCAUCUCAUAGGGGGAGAGAUCUUGCACGGAUGUAAAACCAUUUUUCUUCUGUUAUAGAUUCUAGAGUGAUGCUCUGCUUAAAUUCCUAUCCAUGCAUAAAGUCAACAUCCAAUGAAAUAUGAGCAAAUUAUUUUAUCUCUGUUAUUGUAAUUGGGAGCUAUGACAACCAUAUAAAUGGAUUUAGUAUAUUUUGAUUGCAUAGUUUCUUUUUGCUAUUUUGAAAUAUGAAUGUGUAUCUUUAAUCAUGACUGUUUAUGCAUUUUUAAGCAUGACUAGAACUGUGCUGAAGAUGUGUGCUUAACCAUGUAGUUUUUUUCUGCAGCUAAAAUUCAGCUGAAGCUUUACAAACUAGCUGGACACUAAUUCAUAGAGCUAUCCUUUCCUUUGCUUUGUUUUUCCUGUAGAAUAGGUUAAGCAUAAUCUGAGUGGUGUAUACCCAACACAUUUCUUAAUGGACAUGCAUGCAAUUAUAAUCUAAUUGGGACACGACUAACAAGCUGAUUUACAUGAGCAUGCUCAUGUAUGUUUUCACAACCUGGCCCUUGUCUUGCAGAUCCUCGAAACGAGCCAAGAACCAUUAAAUGUUUUCACAACCUGGCCCUUGUCAUGUAUGUUUUACAGAUCCUCAAAACAAGCUUAGACUUUGUUUGUUAUGCAAGAUCUCUUCAUGUGUCAUAAUGAUACAAACACGAGGUACAUAAUUUAGGCAUUUACAAUUAUAAUUAAGUGAUAAUUUGGCAGAACAACAUGGUGUGGUGUUUAUUCGAGAAGGAUGCACUAUUUUGUCAAGUGUGGUGUUUAUUCGAGAAGGCAACAAAGAGGUAUGGCAGGACUGCUUUGUUGCACAUGUUCGAAAGUUGUGUCUUACCUGCUUUAAAUAUAGUAGUUGAGACUUCUGGGGGCAUGCCGUUUCAUCUCGAGCUUUCUUAACUAAUAGAGAAAUGAAAUAACUUAUCAAAGCCUUUUUGUACGGUUUUUCUUUUCACUUCCAAAACAUUUUCGCAAAUUGGAACUUCAUAGCCAGUUUCCAAAUUCAAAGAAAUCACCUACCAUGGCCUUGUUCCUUUUCUUAAACUUCUCAUUCUGCAUCUUAAACAGCCAAACUCCCAGCCAUUUCAAUGUCAAGCUCGCUGAGCAACUUAAAAUCACAAUUCAUAGCAAAUAUAUGAACAACUAACUAUGCUUUAUAUUUUUGAUAGGUGUUCUAGAACUAGAAGCAUUUCCUUAGUUCAAACCUUGUAUCACGAAUUUACAUGCUACCCUCUUUUGAUGUACUUCAACAAGAAAAAAAGGGCAACCUGGUGCAUGUAGCUCCCGCUUGCGCAGGGUCCAGGGAAGGGUCCGACCACUUUGGGUCUAUAGUACGCAGCCUUUCCCUACAUUUCUGUAAGAGGCUGUUUCCAGGACUUGAACCCAUGACCUCAUGGUCACAAGGCAGCAGCUUUACCACUGCGCCAAGGCUCCCCUUCGAUGUACUUCAACAAGCUUAUCAACAAAUAUAUACCAGAUGCUACAUUGGCAUGUUAUUAUUUUGUUAGUGUAGUCACAUGAACUUCAUAUGAUUUAGCUGCAUUGUCAUAUAUUUAUUCACAAGAUCUGCUCGUCUAUAUCUGUCAAGACUGGAAACCUUGAGACGGUGAUCAAACAUUUGGUUGAAGGAAUCAGCAAACAGAUGUUUUCGAGCAUCAUGUUGUGAGCUCUGAUGUUCCUCUCAAGACUUGGAUCGGCAACCUGAUGCAAGUGCUCAAGGGAUAUCUGGAGCAUGUACUUCUCAAGGCGAUGUGAUGCAUGUGUAGUUAAUUACCAUGUUGAUUGGAAGUGUUUCGAUCUAGCAACAGUAGCUGAUAUGUGGCCUUGUCUAUAGCAGGUUGUAGAUUAAACUUGCAGUGUAUAGACCAUUUUGCAACUUAAGCUAGCUUUUUUGGAUCGAUGGGUGGUAUGAAUAUGUUGUAUGAUGAUGAAUAUUCGGUCAUCUAUGAAUUAUUUGAAUUAUGGCUGAUAUAUAUAUAUCCAAAUUUGGUGUAUUGUUGCUUUGGUUGUGAC